UACGUAGGGGGCAAGCGUUGUCCGGAAUCAUUGGGCGUAAAGCGCGUGUAGGCGGCUCGGUAAGUCUGCUGUGAAAGUCCAGGGCUCAACCCUCGAAUGCCGGUGGAUACUGUCGGGCUAGAGUGCGGAAGAGGCGAGUGGAAUUCCUGGUGUAGCGGUGAAAUGCGCAGAUAUCGGGAGGAACACCAGUAGCGAAGGCGGCUCGCUGGGCCGUUCCUGACGCUGAGACGCGAAAGCCAGGGGAGCAAACGGG
rnacentral:rRNA from 1 species